rnacentral:misc_RNA from 1 species
UAGUAUGCCUUUUUUAACCGACUUUAAAAAUAACUUCGUCGCUUAUGAACCGAUUUUGAUAAUUCUUUUUCUUUGUUGGAAAUGAGAUGUCCCAAGUGUGGUACCAUGAUAGGAAACCAGGAUCUGAUGAUGAAUUGUAGUGACAACUAGUGCGUUUGUUAAUUUAUUUCUUCAACUCAUGUUGUAUUACUUGUCGAUGUAAUUGAAGUCGGUUUUUUUCGUUUGCGAGCAAACAAAAUUAUUUGUGUUUUUUGCAGUCGAUCUGAAGGAGUAAACUCCAGUCUUGCGUUUGUUAUGAUCACGUUAAACUAUCGUCCGUAAAUCAAUUUUACAGACACCACUUUACGAACACCAUUUUAUUUUUUAUUUUUUUCCGGACCUUUUCGACACAAUGUUGUAUCCCUUAUUAUUUCUUUCCAGAUUAUAUUCGUAUUUUAUUAUAAUUGUUUUUGAAAUGUUACAAGAAAAAAAUAAAUAUUGUGAUGUGAAAAAGACGUAAUAUUUAAGAGUGACAUAAUGAUUAUUAUAUUAAGGCUUAACAUUAAAUUAUUAUUGCGAAUAUUGAUGUACUAUAUUUAUUGAUUAGUAUUAUUAAUAAUAAGAAGCAUUUUAUACAAAAAAAAAAAAAAAAAAAAAAAAAAAAAAAA